CCGGGCCGCUUCACACGGUCCCUUACCCCGGCGGCCGACGUGGACUCGCCCGGACCAUGACCUGCCCCAACGCGCCGGCCGGUGCGCAGGCCGAGCCAAGGCGGCCCCCGUGUGCGCGGUCCGCCGACGGUUACCCGACAUUUUGGGCACCCGCUGUCCGCACGUGUGCAUUUUGAGUCGAACCGUUCACGGACGCAUCACUUGCCCGGAUUCGUACCAGGGUCCCAGGACGUCGCGCGCGCGGCCCGGCAUACUGCCGGUCGCGGUCUGUCGUCGCCGGUCGGUCGGUCGCUUCGUCGCACGGAGCGUGCGGACUCCCGACCGCGGACCACUCAUUAGCGCAACGCCGUACCCAAGAGAAGGUCGUGCGUGCCCCAGCAUGACCCCUGUCGAGGCUCAGGGCUUUUGCGUGCUGCUGUUGAUCAUCAUCUAUUAUUACGUUUCGCUGUGGUCGUUUUUUUCCCGUUACGACGGCACGGUGAUCGACCGCCGUGGCUUUUACAUAUUCUUUUGGUUGUUCUAACAAUCUAACACGACCGCCACGCCGACCUCGACGCAGCCAGUGCAACGACCACCGCCGCCGGUCGUGUCCAGUGUCCACACGUUAAUAUAAUAUAUAAUAUGUUUUACUCUAUUGCUAAAUCGAUAAUCACUUUAAAAAAGUAACAUAAUAGCAAGUCAAUUAAAAUAUAUUCCUCUACUGACACAAAUAAAAGUGCAGUAACCUUGGAAUCUACCGAUGAACACAAUUAUUCAGAUUCCAAUACAUAAUGCGCAACUCAAAUUAUAACCAGUAUAACCAGAUCAGUAGAACCCUGGGGUUAAAGUGAGGAGGACGCAGGGGAACUUCCCUAACUCGAAUAGUGGUUAAAAGCGUCCCCUUUAACAAAUUAUUCGUAAGGUGGUAAGGUACGCCGGAACGCUCCAAUUAUAAUCAAACAUUUGUCAAUAUAAUUCAGAAUUCUGUUGAGAUUAAAUCUUGAUUUUUAUUUAUUUAUUUUUAUCAAUUGUUACUUUACUUUUAUAAAAUCUAUUUAAUAAAAAUUAUGGACUAUCUAAUGUGUUUAACUAUUUUUUUGUGUAAUGUUUACUUUUUAGUAUUAAGUACUUGUAUUUAGUUAUUUAAAUAAUUUGUUGAAAAUAAGUUACGGCCAACAGGUAAAUUAAAUCGUAUUUAUGUAAAAUUAUCAUUAAUGAAUAUUAGAGCUUUUUUUAAUAUAACCAUUUUUUGUGUUUAAUUUCCAUAGUUUUAUUAAAAGACAACCACUACUUACAAUUUUUUAUAUUGAGAAAAAAAAAAUAUAUUCUCUUUCAAAAUAUUAAAUUUCUAUAAAACAUAGGUUAUUGUUAAAAAGUAGUAUUAUUUGUCAUUUAAAUUAUUCAUGAAAUAAAUUAAAAAUUUGAACAUUAUUCAGGGUUAAAAACUUAAAAGUGGGAUGAGUUUAAUGUUACACAAUCACUGUUUAUAGUGUUUAUAGAUCACAUAUACUUUAUGCAUUAGAAAUUGUACAUAAAAUGAUACAUGGAACGCUUAUAACUACAUAAGUCACCUUUGGGAUUUUUUCCCACUUUAAGCCUAUUUGUCUAGGUCAUUUUUUUUAACAAUAUAAAUAUUAUUCUUUUGAUCUUAUUUUAUUUGUAUAAUAACUUUAAAAAAAAUCGUGCGUAAUUAUUUAAAUAGCCGUAGGUACUAGCUAGGUGUAGAAUUAUUAUUUAACUGUACCUAUAGGUACUUUAUAGUAUACACACAUUAUUAUUAUUUAGGUAUAGUUACUAAAAAAUAUAAUAUUAUUAAAUCUUACGAGUA